rnacentral:rRNA from 1 species
UGGGGAAUUUUGGACAAUGGGCGAAAGCCUGAUCCAGCAAUGCCGCGUGUGUGAAGAAGGCCUUCGGGUUGUAAAGCACUUUUGUCCGGAAAGAAAUGGCUCUGGUUAAUACCUGGGGUCGAUGACGGUACCGGAAGAAUAAGGACCGGCUAACUACGUGCCAGCAGCCGCGGUAAUACGUAGGGUCCAAGCGUUAAUCGGAAUUACUGGGCGUAAAGCGUGCGCAGGCGGUUGUGCAAGACCGAUGUGAAAUCCCCGAGCUUAACUUGGGAAUUGCAUUGGUGACUGCACGGCUAGAGUGUGUCAGAGGGGGGUAGAAUUCCACGUGUAGCAGUGAAAUGCGUAGAGAUGUGGAGGAAUACCGAUGGCGAAGGCAGCCCCCUGGGAUAACACUGACGCUUAUGCACGAAAGCGUGGGGAGCAAACAGG